GCACGCGCAGCCCAGCUGUGCGUGUAGCACGUUUGGCACAUCAGGCAGAGAGCUGCAGAAGUGAAGCCCUCCCUCCUCUCCAGAAGCGUUUGUCUUGUGUUGAGAAGACCAUUAUUGGAAAAUGAAACAACAUGAAACGGAUGAGGUGGAAGAAGAAGAGGAGGAGGAAGCAGCUUUCCACAACCCACCUCAACAAAGAGAUGCCCUACAUGCUGCUGGUGUGCAAACCAGGCACCAAAUCAUUCACUCUGUUUUUGGUUAAUGUUUUUUUUGCAUCAAAUUGAUUUUUUCAUCCACCACACAGCAUCCCCCCUUUCUUUGUGUGUACACAUUUCUUUCAACCCAAUAACAUUUUUUUGCAGUUGUGCACACAGUUUAUUUGUCAUUUGUACCCAGUGACAUUUGUAAAGUCCUUUCACUUGGAUGCUGAAACCCCCCAGUCAUUACCUUAUUUUUCACGUUCUUAAAUGAUCUAAAUGUUUAAUAGGGAAAAGGUUGUGUCAGAAUAUUUACCCGAUCUAGUGCUGUGUACCUAUAGUAUGUGUGAUGUGCUAUUUGUACUCAUAAAUUACUUUUUGCAUGCAUAUAUGAUACACAGCGUUAAGCUCUUGGUCAAAAUUGAUGAUGUGGGAUUAUAUGUACAUGAAAAAAAGUGUCAUACUCAGAAAUUGCCUUUUGCGUGCAUAGAAAAAUACCCCAAAUGAAAACAAUGUAAAAUUGUUCCACUGAUGCUUUUAUGACAUCGGGCUUGCAGUGAUGUAAAGUAUUGGAGUAAAUGUAAUUAGUUACUGUACUUAAGUAUCUUUUUGGCUACUUUGUAGUUGUACUGAGUAUUAAAGAUAUUAAGACUUUUACUCUCUACUUGACUACAUUUUUGAACAAGUAUAUGUACUCUUUACUCCACUAUAUUUGUAAUGACUAAUGCAAUUACACAUUACACUUCACCUGGUACCCAUCAUUCUUUUGCGGCAGUUUAUUUUUGAUACAGAAGAAUUAAUAUGGCCAUUUACAGGGCAUUGAAGGUACUAUAUCUUGUGGGUUUUGCUCUUACUUACUAAAACUUGUCAACAUGGCUUCUUUAUGUGAAUACGAGUGCAGUAUCAGGUAGGGUUAGGAUAGGGUUAUCAAUGUCAAUCGCUGGCGGUUUAUAUGUGAAAUGAGGACAUGACUGCAGCUGAUGAUGAGGCCAAAACCAGCAUGUCCAGUGCAAAAAGGCUUUGACUUUUUAAUUUGACUGAACAUUAUUUUAUUUAUCCGUUAUAUUGAAGAAACCUUUUGAAAGAGUUUGGUUUAU